rnacentral:rRNA from 1 species
AAUUUUGGGACAAGGGGGGAGCCCGUGAUCCAGCCAUCCCGCGUGUGCGAUGAAGGCCUUCGGGUUGUAAAGCACUUUAGGCGGGAAGAAAAUCGCUCUGUUUUAAUACGGCGUGUUGAUGACGGUACCUGCAGAAUAAGCACCGGCUAACUACGUGCCAGCAGCCGCGGUAAUACGUAGGGUGCAAGCGUUAAUCGGAAUUACUGGGCGUAAAGCGUGCGCAGGCGGUUCGGAAAGAAAGAUGUGAAAUCCCAGGGCUCAACCUUGGAACUGCAUUUUUAACUCCCGAGCUAGAGUAUGUCAGAGGGGGGUGGAAUUCCGCGUGUAGCAGUGAAAUGCGUAGAUAUGCGGAGGAACACCGAUGGCGAAGGCAGCCCCCUGGGAUAAUACUGACGCUCAUGCACGAAAGCGUGGGGAGCAAACAGGAUUAGAUACCCUGGUAGUCCACGCCCUAAACGAUGUCAACUAGCUGUUGGGUCCUUCGGGCCUUAGUAGCGCAGCUAA